GAGCAUCUCUCAGUCCAGCACAUGGGCACCAGGAGCACACAUUUCUCCUAGUAGUGAGGUUUGUCCUGGGCCUCGUCCGGACUACCAUGACUGACCUCCUGGCCAACCUGAGUGUUCCAUGGGGCACACAGGCGAUUGUGUGCCCCAACCUGACAGCAGCAGCCCUGGUUGUGCCGGGGUCAGGCAAGGGUCUGGCCCCCUUCUGCACCUUCUGCUGCUGUGGCCUGCUGAACCGUACCCUGGCCGUGGUGUUUAUGGUCAGUCUGGCCUUCGCCAUAGUGGUGGGCAACGUGGUCACGCUCACCGUCUUCAUGCAGACAAGACAGGUCCGUACACCACAGGGAUACCUCAAAGGUAUAAUCGGUGACUGGAGAAACACUUUCACAGAGAAGCAGAUUGGUAUUUUCGACACCGUCUACAGCUACCAGAUGAAAGACUGUCCCUUGACCUUCAUGUGGGAGUGUCCUCCUGAGUCCUGUGGGGAAGGAGGAGGAGGACAGGCCUCGGGAUCAGGAUAGGGACCUUAUCCUCCAUGACGCCGGAGAUUGAUGGAUACGCUUCAUACAAGUCCUGGAAUUCUCUCACUUUUUGUGAAUGUACAUAUAAUGUACACAACCCAAUAUAGUAAAACUAUAUAAUAAAAUUGAUAUGCAAAUAUAACAAAAAUAUUGUGUGACCUAUUUGUUGUUGUAGUUGGGUUUUUCCAACUCUAAAAAAAUCUAAAUGUUACAGUUAACUGCACUAGCUAGAUGAAGGGACACGAGGGGGACAUUUAACUCCCUGACAUUGACACAUUGGAAAACCUCCCAGUUUGUGGCAGUGCAUCAAGCAGAAGGGAUGAUAUAUUAACUCCAGAAAGGCUGACGUGUACAUAAAAAGCUGCUGUUACAUCAGUCACAUAGCUUGACUCCGAACAACCUGUCAGCUCAUGGGAACAUGAUGAGGAAGUUAUGCGAACACAUUAACAAAAGGUCACAAUCCUCCCGAUCACAGUUUAUAUCAAUGAGUGGCAGUGUGUCAAGCUGAUCCAAUGAGUGGCAGUGUGUCAAGCUGAUCCAAUGAGUGUCCCCUCAGUAACUAAUGACAUCAAUCUUCAUCUGUUGCUCUCAGACUCCGGCUGCUUGAUUAGUACUUACACGGCAAGACAAGUGGUGCUUCAGAGAGUACAUACCUGGCAGGAAUGUGUUUAUCAGGGGAAGGGGCCAGAGCUAGAGAACUGCACCUGGCCACCCAGAGGGUGGCACGUGGUUGUGUUGCCAGACUGACUUCACUGUGGAGACUGACUUCCCUGUGGAGACCUGCUGCCGCCCUCAUACACCAUCCAAAUAUAACUCUGAAUCUAUAGUUCAGAAUAGAUGGGUCUUUGGAUGUAUAUACACUACAUGUGGACACCUGCUCAAACAUUUCAUUCCAAAAUCAUGGGCAUUAAUGUUGAGUUAGUCCCCCCUUUAAUGUUAUAACAGCCUCCACUCUUCUGGGAAGGCUUUCCACUAGAUAUUGGAACAUUGCUGCGGGGACUUGCAUCCAUUCAGCCACAAGAGCAUUAGUGAGGUCAGGCACUGAUGUUGGGCGAUUAAGCCUGGCUCGCAGUCGGUGUUGGAUGGGGUUAAGGUCAGGGCUCUGUGCAGGCCAGUCAAGUUCUUCCAACCUGAUCUCGACAAACAAUUUCUGUAUGGACCUCACUUUGUGAACCGGAGCAUUGUCAUGCAGAAACAGGAAAGGGCCUUCCCCAAAUCUGCUGCCACAAAGUUGCAAGCACAGAAUCAUCUAGAAUAACAUUCUAUGCGUUAGCGUUAAGAUUUCCCUUCACUAGAACUAAGGGGCCUAGCCUGAACCAUGAAAAACAGUCCCAGACCAUUAUUCCUCCUCCACCAAACUUUACAGUUGACACUGCAUUGGGGCAGGUAGCGUUCUCCUGGAAUCCGCCAAAUCCAGAUUCGUCUGUCAGACUGCCAGAUGGGGGAGCGGGAUUCAGUUCUCCAGAGAACAUGUUUCCACUGCUCCAGAGUCCAUGGUGAUCUUUGUGUGGCUGCUUGGCCAUGGAAACCCAUUUCAUGAAGCUCCCGACAAACCGUUAUUGUGCUGAAGUUGCUUCCAGAGGCAGUUUGGAACUCGGUAGAGAGUAUUACAACCGAGGACAGACGAUUUUUACGCGCUAUACGAUUCCGCACUCGGUGGUCCCAUUCUGUGAGCUUGUGUGGCCUACCACUUCACGGCUGAGCCGUUGUUGCUCCCACUUCACAAUAACAGCACUUACAGUUGACAGGGGAAGGUCUAGCUGUUGGAAAGGUGGCAUCCUACGACAGUGCCACGUUGAAAGUCACUGAGCUUUUCAUUAAAGCCAUUCUGCUGUCAGUGUUUGUCUAUGGAGAUUGCAUGGAUGUGUGCUCCAUUUAUACACCUGUCAGCAACGGGUGUAGCUGAAAUAUCCGAAUCCAUCAACUCGAAGGGGUGUCCCCAUACUUUUGUAUAUAUAUUGUAUGUUGAAUUUUCAUUUACAUAGAUAUAUCUAUAAUGUUUUGGAUAAAUGAAUGUAAAGACAUUUAGCUAUUCUUAAUCUAAA
ensembl:lncRNA